ACCGACAUUAAUAAAAUUAAAAUUCUCUCUCUUCUAUUAUUUUAUUUCUCCUUAAUCCGAGUUAGUAAACUAUACACGACACAGAAUGAGUGAUACCCCUCUAAGUUGUAAGUGUCUUAAGACUCUCUAAGCACUACCCUCUACCCAACAACCAAAAAUCAGAGAGAAGUGACUUUUAGACUCUUCUGAUCUCAGCUUUUCUCUGUGAUAGAAGAAAGCAAACAUGAGCUCUCUUGUACAGGGUCUCAUCAAGUCGCUUGCCAUGACUGUGCUCUCUGAGCUCGGCGACAACACAUUUUUCGCCACAGCAAUCCUGGCUAUGCGUCACCCUAGGAGACCUGUCUUGCUCGGUUGCCUCGCAUCUUUGUCUGUGAUGACUGUUCUCUCUGCUCUCGUUGGCUGGGCUACUCCUAAUCUGAUCUCUCAUAAAUGGGCACAUCACAUAACAACAUUGUUGUUCUUUGUGUUCGGGCUAUGGUCUUUAUGGGAUGGAAUUAAAGAUGAUGGAGAUGAUGAUGAGUUCGCUGAAGUUGAAGCAAGACUGGAUGCUGAAUUGAACUCUGACAAAUGAACUACCAAAAAGAAAAGUAAGGAUGAUGAUGAAUUGAAAAGGCAAAAACGACCGUUUCUCUCACAAUUCUUUUCACCAAUCUUUUUGAAGGCAUUUUCUGUUACUUUUUUCGGUGAAUGGGGUGACAAGAGCCAGCUGGCUACCAUAGGUUUGGCUGCAGAUGAGAACCCACUUGGUGUUGUUCUUGGUGGAAUUAUAGGACAAGCACUGUGUACUGUUGCAGCUGUCCUUGGUGGGAAGAGCUUGGCAUCUCGAAUAUCUGAGAAAAUAGUUGCGCUCUCAGGUGGAGUUCUUUUCAUAGUUUUUGGGAUUCAAUCCUUUCUUUCAACGGUUGAGUCAUGAUGCAUAUGAUCAAGGUAACACAUUGUAGAGAGAUCGAGUUGGAUCAUGAGGCGGCUUCAUUUCCCCUGUUUUAAAUUUUCCACCUUGGAUAUGUUUAAUAUGUUAAUUAGAACCUCUCAUGUAUAACAUUUUUGAGUACUUUGUACCAUGGAAAAUGCAUGUAAUGUUUGAUUUACCUUUGCAAUAUGACUACUGACUAGCGCAUUUAACUA